GUCGGGAAAGAAAAGACGGAGAAUUGGAUUUUUCUUCUUCAUAGAGUUUUGGGAAGACUGAGGCAAUCGUUGCUGAAGUCAGUGUUGUAAUGGUGAAUCGGGAUUUUUUUUAAUGAAGUAGGUUUGACUACUCUUGACUAUUUUGUGAAAUCGAAUUACGUCUGUGAUUGAAGAAUUAAAAGGGUGUCUAUAGGAUUGAGUAUGCGAAGUGAAUGAAAUUUAUUGAGUUAAUCUAACAAGACAGUCAGUGGAUACAAGAUCGUAAGUACAAAGCAGUAUCGGAGAUUAACAG
rnacentral:lncRNA from 1 species